rnacentral:rRNA from 1 species
AUUGAACGCUGGCGGCAGGCUUAACACAUGCAAGUCGAGCGAGCGGCGGACGGGUGCGUAAUGUCUGGGACACUGCCUGAUGGAGGGGGAUAAAUACUGGAAACGGUAGCUAAUACCGCAUAACAUAGGAUGUGCCCAGAUGUGAUUAGCUAGUAGGUUGGGUAAAGGCUCACCUAGGCGACGAUCCCUAGCUGUUCUGAGAGGAUGACCAGCCACACUGGAACUGAGACACGUGCCAUACUCAGACGGGAGUCAGCAGUGGGGAAUAUUUCACAAUUGGAGCAAGCCUGAUGCAGCCAUGCCGCGGGUAUGAAGAAGGCCUUCGGGGUGUAAAGUACUUUCAGCGGGGAGGCGUUACCCGCAGAAGAAGCACCGGCUAACUCCGUGCCAGCAGCCGCGGUAAUAC